UCCUGAUGGCUCAGAUGGUAAAGAAUCUGCUUGUAAUGCAGGAGACUCAGGUUUGAUUCCUGAGUUGGGAA
rnacentral:tRNA from 1 species